AGGACGAACGCUGGCGGCGUGCUUAACACAUGCAAGUCGAGCGGGGAUAUUGAGUGGAAGUCUUCGGAUGGAAGCUUAAUAUCUAGCGGCGGACGGGUGAGUAACGCGUGAGCAAUCUGUCCUACACAGGGGGAUAACAGAUGGAAACAUCUGCUAAUACCGCAUAAGACCACGAGGUCGCAUGGCCUUGAGGUAAAAGAAUUAUCGCUGAAAGAUGGCCUCGCGUCUGAUUAGCUAGUUGGUGAGGUAACGGCCCACCAAGGCGACGAUCAGUAGCCGGACUGAGAGGUUGACCGGCCACAUUGGGACUGAGAUACGGCCCAGACUCCUACGGGAGGCAGCAGUGGGGAAUAUUGCACAAUGGGGGAAACCCUGACCCAGCAACGCCGCGUGAAGGAAGAAGGCCUUCGGGUUGUAAACUUCUUUUAGCAGGGACGAAGGACGUGACGGUACCUGCAGAAAAAGCAACGGCUAACUACGUG
rnacentral:rRNA from 1 species